rnacentral:rRNA from 1 species
UACGAAGGGGGCUAGCGUUGCUCGGAAUCACUGGGCGUAAAGGGUGCGUAGGUGGGCAAGUAAGUCAGUGGUGAAAUCUCCGGGCUCAACCCGGAAACUGCCAUUGAUACUAUUUGUCUUGAAUACUGUGGAGGUCAGCGGAAUAUGUCAUGUAGCGGUGAAAUGCUUAGAUAUGACAUAGAACACCAAUUGCGAAGGCAGCUGGCUACACAAAUAUUGACACUGAGGCACGAAAGCGUGGGGAUCAAACAGG